UUCCUACGGGUGGCAGCAGUGGGGAAUUUUGGACAAUGGGGGCAACCCUGAUCCAGCCAUGCCGCGUGAGUGAAGAAGGCCUUCGGGUUGUAAAGCUCUUUCGGCCGGGAAGAAAUCGCGUUGGCUAAUACCCAGCGUGGAUGACGGUACCGGAAUAAGAAGCACCGGCUAACUACGUGCCAGCAGCCGCGGUAAUACGUAGGGUGCGAGCGUUAAUCGGAAUUACUGGGCGUAAAGCGUGCGCAGGCGGUUUUGUAAGAUAGGCGUGAAAUCCCCGGGCGCAACCUGGGAACUGCGCUUAUGACUGGAAGACUAGAGUAUGGCAGAGGGGGGUGGAAUUCCACGUGUAGCAGUGAAAUGCGUAGAGAUGUGGAGGAACACCGAUGGCGAAGGCAGCCCCCUGGGCCAAUACUGACGCUCAUGCACGAAAGCGUGGGGAGCAAACAGGAUUAGAUACCCGGGUAGUCAAG
rnacentral:rRNA from 1 species